GACUCUGUGUCAAAAAAAAUAAAGAUGCCCUCACAAAGGCCCGUGGCGGGUGUUGACGUGAUGUGAUUUCUGCCCAGUGCUCUGAAAGUCAAGGUGAAGAAAUUCACUGACACGCAGGGAAAUGGCGGGAGUAACUAUGACUCUCUUAAGGUAGCCAAAUGCCUCGUCAUCUAAUUAGUGACGUGCGUGAAUGGAUGAACGAGAUUC
rnacentral:ncRNA from 1 species